rnacentral:rRNA from 1 species
GGAAUAUUGGUCAAUGGGGGAAACCCUGAACCAGCAACGCCGCGUGAAGGAAGAAGGCUUUCGGGUUGUAAACUUCUUUUAUCAGGGACGAUAGUGACGGUACCUGAUGAAUAAGCUCCGGCUAACUACGUGCCAGCAGCCGCGGUAAUACGUAGGGAGCGAGCGUUAUCCGGAUUUACUGGGUGUAAAGGGCGCGUAGGCGGGCUGACAAGUCAGAUGUGAAAACUAUGGGCUUAACCCAUAGCCUGCAUUUGAAACUGCCGGUCUUGAGUAUCGGAGAGGCAAUCGGAAUUCCGGGUGUAGCGGUGAAAUGCGUAGAUAUACGGAAGAACACCAGUGGCGAAGGCGGAUUGCUGGACGACAACUGACGCUGAGGCGCGAGAGCGUGGGGAGCAAACA